rnacentral:rRNA from 1 species
GAUGAACGCUGGCGGCGUGCCUAAUACAUGCAAGUCGAGCGAACAGACGAGGAGCUUGCUCCUCUGACGUUAGCGGCGGACGGGUGAGUAACACGUGGAUAACCUACCUAUAAGACUGGGAUAACUUCGGGAAACCGGAGCUAAUACCGGAUAAUAUAUUGAACCGCAUGGUUCAAUAGUGAAAGACGGUUUUGCUGUCACUUAUAGAUGGAUCCGCGCCGCAUUAGCUAGUUGGUAAGGUAACGGCUUACCAAGGCAACGAUGCGUAGCCGACCUGAGAGGGUGAUCGGCCACACUGGAACUGAGACACGGUCCAGACUCCUACGGGAGGCCGCAGUAGGGAAUCUUCCGCAAUGGGCGAAAGCUUGACGGAGCAACGCCGCGUGAGUGAUGAAGGUCUUCGGAUCGUAAAACUCUGUUAUUAGGGAAGAACAAAUGUGUAAGUAACUAUGCACGUCUUGACGGUACCUAAUCAGAAAGCCAUGGCUAACUACGUG